rnacentral:rRNA from 1 species
AGAUUAAGUUAUUAAGGGCGCACGGUGGAUGCCUUGGCACUAGAAGCCGAUGAAGGACGUUACUAACGACGAUAUGCUUUGGGGAGCUGUAAGUAAGCUUUGAUCCAGAGAUUUCCGAAUGGGGAAACCCAGCAUGAGUUAUGUCAUGUUAUCGAUAUGUGAAUACAUAGCAUAUCAGAAGGCACACCCGGAGAACUGAAACAUCUUAGUACCCGGAGGAAGAGAAAGAAAAUUCGAUUCCCUUAGUAGCGGCGAGCGAAACGGGAAGAGCCCAAACCAACAAGCUUGCUUGUUGGGGUUGUAGGACACUCUAUACGGAGUUACAAAGGACGACAUUAGACGAAUCAUCUGGAAAGAUGAAUCAAAGAAGGUAAUAAUCCUGUAGUCGAAAAUGUUGUCUCUCUUGAGUGGAUCCUGAGUACGACGGAGCACGUGAAAUUCCGUCGGAAUCUGGGAGGACCAUCUCCUAAGGCUAAAUACUCUCUAGUGACCGAUAGUGAACCAGUACCGUGAGGGAAAGGUGAAAAGCACCCCGGAAGGGGAGUGAAAUAGAACCUGAAACCGUGUGCUUACAAGUAGUCAGAGCCCGUUAAUGGGUGAUGGCGUGCCUUUUGUAGAAUGAACCGGCGAGUUACGAUUUGAUGCAAGGUUAAGCAGUAAAUGUGGAGCCGUAGCGAAAGCGAGUCUGAAUAGGGCGUUUAGUAUUUGGUCGUAGACCCGAAACCAGGUGAUCUACCCUUGGUCAGGUUGAAGUUCAGGUAACACUGAAUGGAGGACCGAACCGACUUACGUUGAAAAGUGAGCGGAUGAACUGAGGGUAGCGGAGAAAUUCCAAUCGAACCUGGAGAUAGCUGGUUCUCUCCGAAAUAGCUUUAGGGCUAGCCUCAAGUGAUGAUUAUUGGAGGUAGAGCACUGUUUGGACGAGGGGCCCCUCUCGGGUUACCGAAUUCAGACAAACUCCGAAUGCCAAUUAAUUUAACUUGGGAGUCAGAACAUGGGUGAUAAGGUCCGUGUUCGAAAGGGAAACAGCCCAGACCACCAGCUAAGGUCCCAAAAUAUAUGUUAAGUGGAAAAGGAUGUGGCGUUGCCCAGACAACUAGGAUGUUGGCUUAGAAGCAGCCAUCAUUUAAAGAGUGCGUAAUAGCUCACUAGUCGAGUGACACUGCGCCGAAAAUGUACCGGGGCUAAACAUAUUACCGAAGCUGUGGAUUGUCCUUUGGACAAUGGUAGGAGAGCGUUCUAAGGGCGUUGAAGCAUGAUCGUAAGGACAUGUGGAGCGCUUAGAAGUGAGAAUGCCGGUGUGAGUAGCGAAAGACGGGUGAGAAUCCCGUCCACCGAUUGACUAAGGUUUCCAGAGGAAGGCUCGUCCGCUCUGGGUUAGUCGGGUCCUAAGCUGAGGCCGACAGGCGUAGGCGAUGGAUAACAGGUUGAUAUUCCUGUACCACCUAUAAUCGUUUUAAUCGAUGGGGGGACGCAGUAGGAUAGGCGAAGCGUGCGAUUGGAUUGCACGUCUAAGCAGUAAGGCUGAGUAUUAGGCAAAUCCGGUACUCGUUAAGGCUGAGCUGUGAUGGGGAGAAGACAUUGUGUCUUCGAGUCGUUGAUUUCACACUGCCGAGAAAAGCCUCUAGAUAGAAAAUAGGUGCCCGUACCGCAAACCGACACAGGUAGUCAAGAUGAGAAUUCUAAGGUGAGCGAGCGAACUCUCGUUAAGGAACUCGGCAAAAUGACCCCGUAACUUCGGGAGAAGGGGUGCUCUUUAGGGUUAACGCCCAGAAGAGCCGCAGUGAAUAGGCCCAAGCGACUGUUUAUCAAAAACACAGGUCUCUGCUAAACCGUAAGGUGAUGUAUAGGGGCUGACGCCUGCCCGGUGCUGGAAGGUUAAGAGGAGUGGUUAGCUUCUGCGAAGCUACGAAUCGAAGCCCCAGUAAACGGCGGCCGUAACUAUAACGGUCCUAAGGUAGCGAAAUUCCUUGUCGGGUAAGUUCCGACCCGCACGAAAGGCGUAACGAUUUGGGCACUGUCUCAACGAGAGACUCGGUGAAAUCAUAGUACCUGUGAAGAUGCAGGUUACCCGCGACAGGACGGAAAGACCCCGUGGAGCUUUACUGUAGCCUGAUAUUGAAAUUCGGCACAGCUUGUACAGGAUAGGUAGGAGCCUUUGAAACGUGAGCGCUAGCUUACGUGGAGGCGCUGGUGGGAUACUACCCUAGCUGUGUUGGCUUUCUAACCCGCACCACUUAUCGUGGUGGGAGACAGUGUCAGGCGGGCAGUUUGACUGGGGCGGUCGCCUCCUAAAAGGUAACGGAGGCGCUCAAAGGUUCCCUCAGAAUGGUUGGAAAUCAUUCAUAGAGUGUAAAGGCAUAAGGGAGCUUGACUGCGAGACCUACAAGUCGAGCAGGGUCGAAAGACGGACUUAGUGAUCCGGUGGUUCCGCAUGGAAGGGCCAUCGCUCAACGGAUAAAAGCUACCCCGGGGAUAACAGGCUUAUCUCCCCCAAGAGUUCACAUCGACGGGGAGGUUUGGCACCUCGAUGUCGGCUCAUCGCAUCCUGGGGCUGUAGUCGGUCCCAAGGGUUGGGCUGUUCGCCCAUUAAAGCGGUACGCGAGCUGGGUUCAGAACG